GCCAUUUAAAGGGGCGGACGAAAUAGUAGGAAAAGCGAAAUACGUGCGCCGUGAACCCUGGACUAUGGGCCGACGGAGCUACAACGCCGUGGACGGCUCCAAGCAGAGUCGUGACCCAUGAAAACAUGUUGUUCCCGAUCCAUGGCCCAGGAGACUUGCUUUCCAGUUACGGACAGGGACUUGCUACAGGGAUGGUGAGCUCAGUUAGGGUCGUCUCCUGAGAGAUGCUAGAUACACGGACUUGCUACAGGGCGUUUACGGAGUGGUUAAAGGUGAUUGGUUGAAAUUAGAUUAAGUGAGGCGGGCCCCCUAGUGAAAAUCAGGGGGCCAAUUAGAGAAGAGCAGGAAGCAGGGUCCGUGAAAGUCCGUUGCGGGAGCCGUGUGUGUAGUAUUAUCAGUCGUCUCCUACCUCCGCCGCUGGAUUAGUCACUUGCCGGUGGAGCUAUGCGGCGAUUCUCGUGGGCGACAGGGCGAACGGAACCACUGGACGCCAAUUAAGAGCCGUGCUGGAAGAGGUAAAUAACAGCAAUAUUCUGAUGCAGCCGCUGCACUACCCAGUGGCGCAGCCGGCUGAGGAGCUGCUGGCGCCUAUGGUGGAAGUAGGUGCGGACGGCCAGAUCUGUGCGGCGGAUGCAUGUCAAAAAGGGUCGCCGACAGUGUCGGAGCAGUCAAUUGGAUAGAUCGACCCUAGAGCUCCUGGCCGGAAAAGAAGGCAUGUUAAUUCUGCAGAUCCACAAAAUUAAAUUGUUAUGUUUGUACUUCCUGAACUUCUAGAAAAAGUUACAGGCGUGUGUCCAUGUAAAUAUGGAUGCAGAGCUGAUUGAACUGUUAAUGAAGUUUGGUGAAAUUCAGAACUAGUAUAAGUUAAGUAGGGAUGCCUGUAAGCAGACAUUGUAAUGGACAUUGCAUGAUUUGUGGUUUGAAGGAAUGAAUGAACAUGUAGCUGAUGAGUUGAUGCUAAA